CAGUAGCCGCGGUAAUACGUAGGGCGCAAGCGUUAUCCGGAAUUAUUGGGCGUAAAGAGCUCGUAGGCGGUUUGUCGCGUCUGCCGUGAAAGUCCCGGGCUCAACCCCGGAUCUGCGGUGGGUACGGGCAGACUAGAGUGAUGUAGGGGAGACUGGAAUUCCUGGUGUAGCGGUGAAACGCGCAGAUAUCAGGAGGAACACCGAUGGCGAAGGCAGGUCUCUGGGCAUUAACUGACGCUGAGGAGCGAAAGCAUGGGGAGCGAACAGGAUUAGAUACCCCUGUAGUCCCUGUCUCUUAUAC
rnacentral:rRNA from 1 species